GACUAACGCUGGCGGCGUGCUUAACACAUGCAAGUCGAACGGAAAGGCCCUGCUUGCAGGGUACUCGAGUGGCGAACGGGUGAGUAACACGUGGGUGAUCUGCCCUGCACUUCGGGAUAAGCCUGGGAAACUAGGUCUAAUACCGGAUAGGAGCCAUUUUUAGUGUGAUGGUUGGAAAGUUUUUUCGGUGUAGGAUGAGCUCGCGGCCUAUCAGCUUGUUGGUGGGGUAAUGGCCUACCAAGGCGGCGACGGGUAGCCGGCCUGAGAGGGUGGACGGCCACAUUGGGACUGAGAUACGGCCCAGACUCCUACGGGAGGCAGCAGUGGGGAAUAUUGCACAAUGGGCGCAAGCCUGAUGCAGCGACGCCGCGUGGGGGAUGACGGCCUUCGGGUUGUAAACUCCUUUCGCUAGGGACGAAGCUUUUGUGACGGUACCUAGAUAAGAAGCACCGGCUAACUACGUG
rnacentral:rRNA from 1 species